UACGGAGGGAGCUAGCGUUGUUCGGAAUUACUGGGCGUAAAGCGCGCGUAGGCGGCUUUGUAAGUUAGAGGUGAAAGCCUGGAGCUCAACUUCAGAAUUGCCUUUAAGACUGCAUCGCUUGAAUCCGGGAGAGGUGAGUGGAAUUCCGAGUGUAGAGGUGAAAUUCGUAGAUAUUCGGAAGAACACCAGUGGCGAAGGCGGCUCACUGGACCGGCAUUGACGCGUGAGGUGCGAAAGCGUGGGGAGCAAACAGG
rnacentral:rRNA from 1 species